GACGAACGCUGGCGGCGUGCUUAACACAUGCAAGUCGAACGGAAAGGCCCUGCUUUUGUGGGGUGCUCGAGUGGCGAACGGGUGAGUAACACGUGAGUAACCUGCCCUUGACUUUGGGAUAACUUCAGGAAACUGGGGCUAAUACCGGAUAGGAGCUCCUGCUGCAUGGUGGGGGUUGGAAAGUUUCGGCGGUUGGGGAUGGACUCGCGGCUUAUCAGCUUGUUGGUGGGGUAGUGGCUUACCAAGGCUUUGACGGGUAGCCGGCCUGAGAGGGUGACCGGCAACAUGGGGACUGGGAUACGGCCCAGACUCUUACGGGAGGCAGCAGUGGGGAAUAUUGCACAAUGGCGGAAGCCUGAUGCAGCAACGCCGCGUGCGGGAUGACGGCCUUCGGGUUGUAAACCGCUUUCGCCUGUGACGAAGCGUGAGUGACGGUAAUGGGUAAAGAAGCACCGGCUAACUACGUG
rnacentral:rRNA from 1 species